rnacentral:rRNA from 1 species
GAUGAACGCUGGCGGUAUGCUUAACACAUGCAAGUCGAACGGACUCUUCGGAGUUAGUGGCGGACGGGUGAGUAACGCGUGAGAAUCUGGCUUUGGGUUCGGGACAACCACUGGAAACGGUGGCUAAUACCGGAUGUGCCGAGAGGUAAAAGAGAAAUUGCCUGAAGAUGAGCUCGCGUCUGAUUAGCUAGUUGGUGAGGUAAAGGCUCACCAAGGCAGCGAUCAGUAGCUGGUCUGAGAGGAUGACCAGCCACACUGGGACUGAGACACGGCCCAGACUACUACGGGAGGCAGCAGUGGGGAAGUUUCCGCAAUGGGCGAAAGCCUGACGGAGCAAUACCGCGUGAGGGAAGAAGGCUCUUGGGUUGUAAACCUCUUUUCUUAGGGAAGAACAAAAUGACGGUACCUAAGGAAUCAGCAUCGGCUAACUCCGUG